AUUUAGUCCAAGAAUCGGACCCCGCACUGCUGACAAAUGUAUGAACUACCGCAUCAAACACGCACACACCGGCUGAUGUAACGUUAGUCUUAACAGAGACCUGGGUGCAAGUCGUAUAAUUAGCUUGGUAACAAGCUAAUGUAGCCUCACCCAGCUCAGUGUAGUUGCGCUAAUGUGCCUCUGCGCUGUACGAGAGGGCAGGUAUUUACAAAGGAAAACGUGCAGGUGGCGCCAGUAAAUGCGGGCUUUCUGAGGCAGCUAAGACCCAAUUUUACGUAACGUUAACAUAAACCACAUUACCUUGGGGUUGUGGUGUAAUCCAGAAAGUGAGACCGGGCAAACCUUGUAGGGUUGGGUAUUGGGAACCGGCGCCAUAUUGGUGCCCACGCGGCCGGUAACUACCGUACCGGAGCUCUUCUGUGCUGCACGUCAACACUUUGAGACAAACAAGGAGCGUCAAUCUAACGUAAAUGCUUUUCCAUAUAUGUUACAUCUUUAGUUUCAAUGAGCAUGCAUCUAAAAUUGAAUGAUUAAUAUUCCCCAAAUUCCAAUUAACUACACUUCCGGCUGUUACAGAGGGGAAACGCUGUAAUCUGUGAACUUUGAACAGUUCAUAUAUUGUUCAUAGUUUGUAGUUAAAAAGUUGUAAAAAAUAAAAAAAGUGAUUUUUAUUUAUCUAUAUUUAGGUUCAUUGCUCAAAUGGUUAUAUUGUUCAUGAAGAGAAAAAUUUGACUUUCAGUUAGAAAAACACUUUAUUCAAUUGUUGUUAUGUAUUGGUUCAGACACUGUUUAGGCCAUGGGUCUCAGACUCCGGCCCGCGGG
ensembl:lncRNA